GAUGAAGGUAGAACGUCUCUGUGAGCUGAUGUGAAUCCAGCAGCAUCUGUCCAGGUGUUUCUCUGCUAUGGAUCAGUGUGAGGACAGAGAGGAGGGAGUCCCUCCCUCUAAAAGCUCUCUGUGUGGGGAACAUGACAGCCAGACCAAAGCUCAGAGGACAGAGAAGCAG